rnacentral:rRNA from 1 species
AACGAACGCUGGCGGCAUGCCUAACACAUGCAAGUCGAACGAAGGCUUCGGCCUUAGUGGCGCACGGGUGCGUAACGCGUGGGAAUCUGCCCUUGGGUUCGGAAUAACUCAGAGAAAUUUGAGCUAAUACCGGAUGAUGACGUAAGUCCAAAGAUUUAUCGCCCAAGGACGAGCCCGCGUAAGAUUAGCUAGUUGGUGGGGUAAAGGCCUACCAAGGCGACGAUCUUUAGCUGGUCUGAGAGGAUGAUCAGCCACACUGGGACUGAGACACGGCCCAGACUCCUACGGGAGGCAGCAGUGGGGAAUAUUGGACAAUGGGCGAAAGCCUGAUCCAGCAAUGCCGCGUGAGUGAUGAAGGCCUUAGGGUUGUAAAGCUCUUUUACCAGGGAUGAUAAUGACAGUACCUGGAGAAUAAGCUCCGGCUAACUCUGUGCCAGCAGCCG